rnacentral:rRNA from 1 species
GACGAACGCUGGCGGCGUGCCUAAUAUAUGUAAGUAGAACGCUGAAGGCGGAGCUUGCUUCUCCGGAUGAGUUGCGAACGGGUGAGUAACGCGUAGGUAACCUGCCUGGUAGCGGGGGAUAACUAUUGGAAACGAUAGCUAAUACCGCAUAACAGUAGCUAUCCAAUGAUAUCUGCUUGAAAGGUGCAAAUGCAACACUAUCAGAUGGACCUGCGUUGGAUUAGUUAGUUCGUGGGGUAACGGCUCACCAAGGCGACGACACAUAGCCGACCUGAGAGGGGGAGCGGCCACACUGGGAGUGCGACGCGGCCCAGGCUCCUAGGGGAGGCAGCAGUAGGGAAGCUUAGGCGAUGGGCGGAAGGCUGACCGAGCAACGCCGCGUGAGUGAAGAAGUUUUUCGGAUCGUAAAGCUCGGUUGUAAGGGAAGAACGAGUGUGAGAGUGGAAAGUUCACACUGUGACGGUAACUUAACAGAAGCAGACGGCUAACUACGUA